rnacentral:rRNA from 1 species
GAUGAACGCUGGCGGCGUGCCUAAUACAUGCAAGUCGAGCGAAGCGGGGACGGGUGAGUAAUACGUGGAAAACCUCUUAUAGGAGGGGGAUACUUUCGGGAACCCGGAGCUAUCCCGGAAACUUAUAGAUGGAUCCGCGCUGCAUUAGCUAGUUGGUAAGGUAACGGCUUACCAAGGCAACGAUGCCUAGCCGGCCUGAGAGGGUGAUCGGCCACACUGGAACUGAGACACGGUCCAGACUCCUACGGGAGGCAGCAGUAGGGAAUCUUCCGCAAUGGGCGCAAGCCUGACGCAGCAACGCCGCGUGAGUGAUGAAGGUCUUCGGAUCGUAAAACUCUGUUAGUAGGGAAGCGGUACCUAAACAAAAAGCCACGGCUAACUCCGUGCCAGCCGCCGCGGUAAUAC